rnacentral:tRNA from 1 species
GGGGAUAUGGCGAAAUCGGUAGAAAGGGCG